rnacentral:rRNA from 1 species
UACAGAGGUGGCAAGCGUUGUUCGGAAUUACUGGGCGUAAAGGGCGCGUAGGCGGCCAUCUAAGUCAGACGUGAAAUCCCCCGGCUUAACCUGGGAACUGCGUCUGAUACUGGAAGGCUUGAGUAUGGGAGAGGGAUGUAGAAUUCCAGGUGUAGCGGUGAAAUGCGUAGAUAUCUGGAGGAAUACCGGUGGCGAAGGCGGCAUCCUGGACCAUUACUGACGCUCAGGCACGAAAGCGUGGGGAGCAAACAGG